rnacentral:rRNA from 1 species
GACGAACGCUGGCGGCGUGCCUAAUACAUGCAAGUCGAACGCAGUGGGGACGGGUGAGUAAAACGUGGGUAACCUCCCCAUCAGAGGGGAUAACACUUGGAAACAGGUGCUAAACCGAUACUGAUGGAUGGAGCUGCGGUGCAUUAGCCAGUUGGUGGGGUAACGGCUAACCAAGGCCACGAUGCAUAGCUGGCCUGAGAGGAUGAUCGGCCACACUGGGACUGAGACACGGCCCAGACUCCUACGGGAGGCAGCAGUAGGGAAUCUUGGGCAAUGGACGAAAGUCUGACCGAGCCAUGCCGCGUGAGUGAAGAAGGUUUUCGGAUCGUAAAACUCUGUUAUUAGAGAGGCGGUAUCUAACCAGAAAGCCACGGCUAACUACGUGCCAGCAGCCGCGGUAAUAC